rnacentral:rRNA from 1 species
UGAGGAAUCUUCCACAAUGGGCGAAAGCCUGAUGGAGCAACGCCGCGUGCAGGAUGAAGGCCCUCGGAUCGUAAACUUCUUUUAUCUGGGAAUAAUCUUGAAGGUACCAGAUGAAUAAGCACCGGCUAACUACGUG